rfam:Streptomyces sp. AcH 505 scaffold00001, whole genome shotgun sequence.
GGCGGUGUGCCCGAGUGGCCAAUGGGAGCGGACUGUAAAUCCGCCGGCUUAGCCUUCCCAGGUUCGAAUCCUGGCGCCGCCA